GGAUAGGUGGCCGAGUGGUUAAGGCGCUAGCUUCAGGUGCUAGUGGAGCAAUCCGCGCGAGUUCGAGUCUCGUCCUAUUCA